rfam:Bacillus cereus ATCC 14579, complete genome.
UGGUGAUGUCUCCUAACCGUUAUCAAAGGAGGCACUCGGUCGUGCUGUGGGUAGAAAUUUUUAUUUCGAACCUACCUUAGACGCUUGUCGUCGGGAGUAUGACGUGAGGAUGGGUUAGAUGCCCA